UACAGAGGUCUCAAGCGUUGUUCGGAUUCAUUGGGCGUAAAGGGCGCGUAGGCUGCGGGGUAAGUCGGGUGUGAAAUCUCAGAGCUCAACUCUGAAACUGCACUCGAUACUGCUUUGCUUGAGGACUGGAGAGGAGAUUGGAAUUUACGGUGUAGCGGUGAAAUGCGUAGAUAUCGUAAGGAAGACCAGUGGCGAAGGCGGGUCUCUGGACAGUUCCUGACGCUGAGGCACGAAGGCCAGGGGAGCAAACGGG
rnacentral:rRNA from 1 species